GAGGGAAAGGCGAAAAGAACCCCUGUGAGGGGAGUGAAAUAGAACCUGAAACCGUAUACGUACAAGCAGUGGGAGCCCCAUCACUAAGUGCCUUUAGUGAUGUGACUCACAAAGUGCAACCGUUUGAUAAGCGCGUAACGUUGACCUGCGAAGCAGCCAACGGUAAACCGCCAAAAAUCAAGCAGGGUGCUUAGUGAUGGGGUGACUGCGUACCUUUUGUAUAAUGGGUCAGCGACUUAUAUUUAGUAGCAAGGUUAAGCGAAUAGCGGAGCCGUAGCGAAAGCGAGUGUUAACUGCGCGUUUAGUUGCUAGGUAUAGACCCGAAACCCGGUGAUCUAGCCAUGGGCAGGUUGAAGGUUGAGUAACAUCAACUGGAGGACCGAACCCACUAACGUUGAAAAGUUAGGGGAUGACUUGUGGCUGGGGGUGAAAGGCCAAUCAAACCGGGAGAUAGCUGGUUCUCCCCGAAAUCUAUUUAGGUAGAGCCUCGGACGAAUUCCAUUGGGGGUAGAGCACUGUUAAGGCUAGGGGGUCAUCCCGACUUACCAACCCUUUGCAAACUCCGAAUACCAAUGAGAACUAUCCGGGAGACACACGGCGGGUGCUAACGUCCGUCGUGAAGAGGGAAACAACCCAGACCGCCAGCUAAGGUCCCAAAAUAUUGCUAAGUGGGAAACGAUGUGGGAAGGCAUAGACAGCUAGGAGGUUGGCUUAGAAGCAGCCACCCUUUAAAGAAAGCGUAAUAGCUCACUAGUCGAGUCGGCCUGCGCGGAAGAUGUAACGGGGCUAAGCAAUAUACCGAAGCUGCGGAUACGUGUUUACACGUAUGGUAGGGGAGCGUUGUGUAAGUGGAUGAAGGUGGAUUGAGAAGUCUGCUGGACAUAUCACAAGUGCGAAUGCUGACAUGAGUAACGAUAAUGGGAGUGAAAAACUCCCACGCCGGAAGACCAAGGUUUCCUGUCCCAUGCUAAUCAGGGCAGGGUAAGUCGGCCCCUAAGGCGAGGCAGAAAUGCGUAGUCGAUGGGAAACGGAUUAAUAUUUCCGUACUUAUAUAAUCAGUGAUGGAGGGACGGAGAAGGCUAAGCAAGCUUGGCGUUGGUUGUCCAAGUGAAAGCAAGUAGGCCGAGUGUUUAGGUAAAUCCGGACACUUAAAGCUGAGAUGCGAGACGAGCUACUACGGUGGUGAAGUUGUUGAUGCCCUGCUUCCAGGAAAAGCUUCUAAACUUAUGAUUAUAUGAACCGUACCCCAAACCGACACAGGUGGUCAGGUAGAGAAUACUAAGGCGCUUGAGAGAACUCGGGUGAAGGAACUCGGCAAAAUUGUACCGUAACUUCGGGAGAAGGUACGCCCUUGUUUGUGAUAGGACUUGCUCCUUGAGCAGAUGAGGGCCGCAGUGACCAGGUGGCUGGGACUGUUUAUUAAAAACACAGCACUCUGCUAACUCGCAAGAGGACGUAUAGGGUGUGACACCUGCCCGGUGCCGGAAGGUUAAUUGAUGGGGUUAUCUUCGGAGAAGCUCUUGAUCGAAGCCCCGGUAAACGGCGGCCGUAACUAUAACGGUCCUAAGGUAGCGAAAUUCCUUGUCGGGUAAGUUCCGACCUGCACGAAUGGUGUAACCAUGGCCACGCUGUCUCCACCCGAGACUCAGUGAAAUUGAAAUCGCAGUGAAGAUGCUGUGUACCCGCACCUAGACGGAAAGACCCCGUGAACCUUUACUACAGCUUGGCACUGAACAUUGAACCUACAUGUGUAGGAUAGGUGGGAGGCUUCGAAGCACAGUCGCUAGAUUGUGUGGAGCCGUCCUUGAAAUACCACCCUUGUAUGUUUGAUGUUCUAACAUUGGUCCCUUAUCGGGAUUAUGGACAGUGUCUGGUGGGUAGUUUGACUGGGGCGGUCUCCUCCCAAAUAGUAACGGAGGAGCACGAAGGUUAGCUAAUCACGGUCGGACAUCGUGAGGUUAGUGCAAUGGCAUAAGCUAGCUUAACUGCGAGACAGACACGUCGAGCAGGUACGAAAGUAGGUCAUAGUGAUCCGGUGGUUCUG
rnacentral:rRNA from 1 species